AUGGACCAAUCCAUCCCUUUUUCCCGUGCAUAUGCAUCGGACUCGGAUGACGAUGGUCCCGAUGAAGAAGUUGAUGAGGAGGGGUUCACGCCGAAGGAGGCCGAAGCAUUCAAGAAGGUAUUCGGGCGGGAUCACGAGACACCAUUGUUCAAGGAUAUUAGUCUCGCGGAUGAAGCCGUUGUGGAUGGUGGCAAAUGCAUAUCUCUUGGAGUUAGGCCAAGUUCUCAC
rnacentral:rRNA from 1 species